rnacentral:pre_miRNA from 1 species
GCAUCUGGCAAGAACUCGGUCCUGUGAUCUGUGUGGUGAAACUUUCACAUCACAGUCUGAGUUCUUGCUCGAUGG